UGGUGAUGAUAUGGACAGUUUAUCAAUAAGGACUUAAACCUAUCCCAAGCCUGGUAUAAGUUCUCUCCUCCCUUUAUUUUGAAGCUUGAAAUCUCUCUUAUUAACUU